ACAUAAUAUUGUACCUUUUGUCAUGUAAAGUUUGUGCCAUUUGUACCUUAUAGAGCUUCAUCAAUCAAUAAUUUUGAAAAACACACUCGUCUUCUCCAAGAAAUUCAAAAAAAUGGAACCCAAAGUAACAAAAUUCGAUCUCAUAAUCCUCGGAGCUUCAGGUUUCACAGGCAAAUACGUUCUCAAAGAAGCACUCAAAUUCCUCAACAACUCAUCACAAUCACAAUCUCAAUCUCCUCUCAAUUCCAUAGCCAUCGCUGGUCGAAACCCUACAAAACUAUCCCAAACCCUAAAUUGGGCUUCAAACCCUAAUUCACCGCCGACUAUCACAAUUCUCCCCGCCGACACUUCCGAUCCAUCCUCCCUCCGUUCCCUCUGCUCCCAAACCCGCCUCAUCCUCAACUGCGUUGGUCCAUUUCGUCUCCACGGCGAAACCGUCGUAUCCGCUUGCGUCGAUUCCGGCUGCGAUUAUCUCGAUAUUUGCGGCGAGCCGGAGUUUAUGGAGAGAAUGGAGAGUGAUUACCAUGAUCGAGCCGGUGAAACUGGUUCUCUUGUGGUUUCGGCUUGUGGUUUUGAUUCUGUUCCGGCUGAGCUUGGGUUGUUGUUUAAUUCGUUGCAGUGGGUGGGUCCAGCUGUGCCGAACCGGGUUGAGGCCUAUGUUAGCUUGGAGUCUAGGAAGAGGAUUGUUGGGAACUUUGCUACGUAUGAAUCUGCGGUUCUUGGUGUGGCGAAUGCGAAAGAUUUGCAGGCGUUUAGGAGGUCUAGACCAAGAAGAAGACCUAGGCCUCAGAUUCCUGGGCCGUCUCCUUCGAAAGGACAGACUAUAGAACACCAGAAGAAAAUUGGCCUUUGGGCAGUAGUGCUUCCUUCAGCAGAUGCUAGCGUUGUUCGAAGGACACUUUCAACACUAACUGAAAAGCCCAAUGGUCUUCCCGGGUCGAAUGAAAGUUCUGAGACGGUUCAAAAAAGAGAGGCUUUUUGGUCAUCGGUGAAGCCAGCUCAUUUUGGUGUGAAAAUAGGCUCAAAGUCUUUGUUUGGCAUAUUAAGAAUUAUCAUGGUUGGAAUUUGUAUUGGUCUUUUUGGAAGCACUGGUUUUGGACGGUGGCUUCUUUUGAAAUUUCCUUCUUUAUUUAGCCUUGGUUGGUUCAGGAAGAAUGGCCCUUCUGAAGAGGAAGUCGAAAGCGCAUCUUUCAAGAUGUGGUUUGUCGGACGCGGUUUUAGUAACGGGAGUCUUGCUUCACAGGAAAACACAAAACAUGAUAUGGAAAUUGUAACUAGAGUAACAGGACCUGAAGUUGGAUAUGUAGCAACCCCAAUAAUUCUUGUUCAGUGUGCUCUCAUUCUUCUCAGCCAGCGCACAAACCUACCUAAAGGAGGUGUUUACCCUCCUGGAAUCGUAUUUGGUCCUACUGAUCUCCAACAGAAACUUCAACAAAAUGGAAUAUCCUUUGAUGUCAUCUCAAAAAGUACUAUUUCUUCUUGAGCUUAAUAAUAUAAAUGUACUUACCACACUCCUAACAAAGCACGGUGGCACAUAAAUGAUGUGAAUGAACCCAAAUAACCACCAUCAUUUUCAUCAUUAACAAAGUAUUUGCCAGAACGUGUGACCCCGUAAACUCGCACUUUGCUACCGUCGUCGUUGGUGCAACUGGAAACAGAAAGAAGAGAGUAGCUAGCAAGCAUGUACAACAUACGUUCGAGACGAUUUGUUUGAGUUCAAUAGCAGCAUUAAGAACAGCAGGAAACACCAAAUUGGCACCUAGAACCAUGGCUAAGAGGGUAUCACUAUCAUCUGUUUCUGUUUGUGGGGUGACAGUUUCCACUAUAUUGCUCUCUUUCUCAUUGGAAUAAGAACCCAUCUUUGUUUUCUUUGGAUAAUAGUCUUUCUGAUUUUGUGUGAGCUUCCUUCAAAUGCUGCCUGCUUUUUAUGGACAAAUUUGACACUACAGAUGAUUGAAUAUUCUUGUUGUCACUAUCAUUGUCAGAUUCUUAGUAUUAAUUUGACACUACAUAAUUGAAUAUUAAAUAUGCUGUAAUAUAUAGUGCAUAUUUUAUAUAGACAACUUUCGUCCUCCUAUUUAA